CGAACGAUGAAGCCCAGCUUGCUGGGUGGAUUAGUGGCGAACGGGUGAGUAACACGUGAGUAACCUGCCCUGGACUCUGGGAUAACCCCGAGAAAUCGGAGCUAAUACCGGAUAGGACCUUUCCCCGCAUGGGGUUUGGUGGAAAGUUUUUCGGUUUGGGAUGGACUCGCGGCCUAUCAGCUUGUUGGUGAGGUAAUGGCUCACCAAGGCGUCGACGGGUAGCCGGCCUGAGAGGGUGACCGGCCACACUGGGACUGAGACACGGCCCAGACUCCUACGGGAGGCAGCAGUGGGGAAUAUUGCACAAUGGGCGCAAGCCUGAUGCAGCAACGCCGCGUGCGGGAUGACGGCCUUCGGGUUGUAAACCGCUUUUGUCAGGGAAGAAGGGCUUCGGCUUGACGGUACCUGGAGAAAAAGGACCGGCUAACUACGUGCCAGCAGCCGCGGUAAUACGUAGGGUCCGAGCGUUGUCCGGAAUUAUUGGGCGUAAAGAGCUCGUAGGCGGUUUGUCGCGUCUGCUGUGAAAUCCAGGGGCUCAACCCCUGGCCUGCAGUGGGUACGGGCAGACUUGAGUGGUGUAGGGGAGACUGGAAUUCCUGGUGUAGCGGUGGAAUGCGCAGAUAUCAGGAGGAACACCGAUGGCGAAGGCAGGUCUCUGGGCACUUACUGACGCUGAGGAGCGAAAGCGUGGGGAGCGAACAGGAUUAGAUACCCUGGUAGUCCACGCCGUAAACGUUGGGCGCUAGAUGUGGGGACCUUUCCACGGUUUCCGUGUCGUAGCUAACGCAUUAAGCGCCCCGC
rnacentral:rRNA from 1 species